rnacentral:rRNA from 1 species
ACACGUAGGGGCCUGACGUUGUUCGGAAUCAUUGGGCGUAAAGGGCGCGCAGGCGGCCGUCCAAGUCCGGUGUUAAAUGGUCGGGCUCAACCCGAUCAUGCGCUGGAAACUGGGCGGCUUGAGUCCCGUAGGGGAUGCCGGAAUUCCAGGCGUAGGGGUGAAAUCUGUAGAUAUCUGGAAGAACACCGAUGGCGAAGGCAGGCAUCUGGACGGAGACUGACGCUGAGGCGCGAAGGCGCGGGGAGCGAACAGGUUUAGAUACCCUGGUAGUCCACGCUAUAAACGAUGAGUGCUAGGUGUCGGGGGUCAAACCUCGGUGCCGCAGUUAACACAUUAAGCACUCCGCCUGGGGAGUACGGCCGCAAGGCUGAAACUCAAAUGAAUUGGCGGG